CCUACGGGAGGCAGCAGUGAGGAAUAUUGGUCAAUGGCCGGAAGGCUGAACCAGCCAAGCCGCGUGAAGGACGAAGGUGCCCAGCAUUGUAAACUUCUUUUGUCAAGGGACAAAAUCAGGCUCGAGAGCCUGACCGAGGGUACUUGAAGAAAAAGCAUCGGCUAACUCCGUGCCAGCAGCCGCGGUACUACUGAGGAUGCGAGUGUUAUCCGGAUUUGUUGGGGUUAAAGGGUGCGUAGGGGGACUGUUAAGUCAGCGGUAAAAUCCCGGGGCUAAACCCCGGCGAGCCGUUGAAACUGGCUGUCUUGAGAUGUCGAGAGGUAUGCGGAAUGCGGAGUGUAGCGGUGAAAUGCUUAGAUAUUGCGCAGAACUCCGAUGGCGAAGGCAGCAUACCGGCGGCGAUCUGACGCUGAGGCACGAAAGCGUGGGUAUCGAACAGGAUUAGAUACCCGUGUAGUC
rnacentral:rRNA from 1 species